AUUUUAUUCUGUUAAACAAUGAAAAUAUUGUUGUUAUACAAUGUCACUCUCCCCUUGAACAUUUCUCUCUCUCCCUCUCUCUCUCUCUCUCUCUCUCACAUACACACUCACAUCUCUCUCUCUCUCUCUCUCUCUCUCUCUCUCUCUCACACACACAUAUCCUCUACAAUGUUUCCCCUAGAAAUGUUUCCAGCAGUGGCUAUUGCCUGUCGGAAGGUGUAAUCAAGUCACGGCAGUUGAUGCUGAGUGUGGAUCAAACCAUUGUACACAACAACAUGCCCUCCAUCAUUCAUGUUGUUUUUCCUUUAACAUGAAUUACAAAACUGGCACCAACCCUGGAGUUUCUACAGAGGUGUUUCUAUUCCAUCAACCCAGAGAAUAGAUCUAAGGUGGAGAAGACAAGCACAUGUCUUCAUAUGUACCCUAGAGUUCUCAGCCCAGUUCACUGGUCAUGAUGUCUGAUUAUUGACUAAGCUCAGUAAGAGUUUACUUUGAUGUCUUUAUCUACUCAGUUCUUUAAGGUAAAGAGUUCAACAUAGCAUUACGUUUACAUGCCAUUGUUACUGAGUGCUUUUUGUCAGUUUGUUGUACACUAAAUGUCUGUGAAUG